rnacentral:rRNA from 1 species
UACGUAGGGUGCAAGCGUUGUCCGGAAUUAUUGGGCGUAAAGAGCUUGUAGGCGGUUUGUCGCGUCUGCUGUGAAAUUUCGGGGCUCAACCCCGAACUUGCAGUGGGUACGGGCAGACUAGAGUGUGGUAGGGGAGACUGGAAUUCCUGGUGUAGCGGUGAAAUGCGCAGAUAUCAGGAGGAACACCGAUGGCGAAGGCAGGUCUCUGGGCCAUAACUGACGCUGAUGCGCGAAAGCCAGGGGAGCGAACGGG